UACGUAGGGGGCAAGCGUUAUCCGGAAUCAUUGGGCGUAAAGCGCGUGUAGGCGGUUCCGUAAGUCCGCUCUGAAAGCCCAGGGCUCAACCCUGGGAGGCGGGUGGAUACUACGGAACUGGAGUACGGAAGAGGAGAUUGGAAUUCCUGGUGUAGCGGUGAAAUGCGCAGAUAUCAGGAGGAACACCAACAGCGAAGGCAGAUCUCUGGGACGUUACUGACGUUGAGACGCGAAAGCGUGGGGAGCAAACAGG
rnacentral:rRNA from 1 species